UGUUUCAGCAUCAGUUUCUGAAAGCUGCUGGCAGUAAGAAACUAUUUGUUUACUCUGAGAGAACAGGAUGGUUAGAGAAGCCAUAGCAGCUGGCACAUGCUUUAACACUUUCAUUUAUCUGAGAUAGGGGAGUAAUUAAUGAAAAGUAAUGGAGUAUUAAACUUGCUACCAACAAAACACAAAGACAGAAUGAAACUGUACCUCCUGAGGAUAUUUUGCUAGCUGAGUGGAUUAUAAGUCUACUGGCAGUUUUAUCACAGGGCAGAGCUUCCAGCAAAUAUCUUAAAACAAGGUGGCAAUCUAUUAAAUUAGGUCCAUGGCCUAACCAGUGUGCUGCCUGUAGCUGGGGCCAGUAGCACUGGUGUUGGUCAGCCUUGUACUGUACUCUUUAACCACCCACAUUGCACUGCUUUAUCCACUUUUCAUUCAUUUCUGAAGUACAUGGGGUGGGGGAUCAAUAUUGCUUGCUUUUAAAUUUUUCUAUCCGCUAGAGAUCCACAGAGAAAGCAAUAGCAAUUCAAACAUUUUUAGCAAUCCAACCCUGGUACAUAAAACUGAAUGUAUAAACAAUAGAAGUUACAGAUUAAUCUCGUAUAUGCAAAUAAAUACUUAAGAAUGGAAGGAAAGAGGCAAGAGGGACAGGGAAGGAAGGACACCACAAAUCUCCCAUAGUCAAACUUGUUUGUUUUCAAGUUAGACAUUUAUAAGUACAUGUAAAUAUUUCCCAAAAAGAGAGAAUAAGUGAGUUCUUAGACUAUUCUGGCCUGAGGUUUGUUGUUUUUUUUUGAGAAGGAGUGCCUUGGUGGCUACUUCUAGUAAAGUAGUAGUCUUGAAUAUAGUCUUUGGUGGUCAUUUAACUACAUAGAUUUUAAAUAAAACAAGAUUUUUAAUGGAACUACCAGUCAAAAUCUUGACCCGAUGUUUGAGAUGUUGCCAUCAUAUUAUUCUGAGGUAGAACUCCUACUUAUAUUUUGGGAUGAUUGCUUGCUUGGUUUUCCUACUUGCUGUCUUCUUCAACCUAUAGCGGCAAAAGCAAAACUAGCAGCAUUGCACCAGCAUCGUGUGUCAGCUGUCUUCAGCCAUACUUUUAUAAAUUAAUGAUCCUGCUCUAGUUAAAACGGAAAAGUUGGACUUUGUUACUGAUUCAGAAUUGACAUAAAGUAAACGUGAAUUUACCAGAGGGUGGCAGUCUUGUUCAUCACAUCUCAAAACACUGAAAACAAACAUUUCCCCUCAACAGUUCAAGUUUAUUUUGCAGUCUAGUACUGUCCCUCGUCAAUCCUUCUGAAUUGCCUUCCAGUUUAACUCUUAGCUAAAGUCACCUUUUCUUUAAACACAAUUACUUAUUUUGCAGAAUAGUUAAGCUCUUAUACUUUGUUACAUGUGAUCUGCAUGAAUCAGAUUAGCCUAACUACACUGAGAAGAUUCAAUAAAUAGGAUAGAAGCUAAGAACAACUUCAAGUGGUUAUUUUUAAAGUACUUGUGAUCUCUGGUUUGCUGGCCACUGCCUUAUCCAGAUCAGAGUCACGCUGUGACUGAUCUGGUCUGAUCUGCUUGAGUGUACAAUACACUCAAACAUAGGACUCCAAAAUUUUCACAGCUCACAUCGCAUGCAUUUUGAGUAGAGAUUUGUUAUCAGUGGUUUGGGUCUUUAUUUUGUCUGAAGAGACUGUACAGAAUGAAACAAGGGCAAAGAAUGAGUUUUUGUACGUUUAGAAUACAGAAGAAGGAAUUGCAAGACAUUCAGAAAUAGUAACUUGCCUGUUUAUUGUGGAUAUUAUCUCUUUUAAGAAGGCACGCUAAUAUUUAUACUUAAAACAGGUUAUAGAAGUGACUUUGAUUUGAAAUAAGUUCAGAUGUAACAGAAAACAGUCUUGUACGAAAGGAAUCUGCCUCAUCCUUCAGAACUUAAAAUGGCUUCAGAAAAGGCAGCUUACAUACGGUAUUUUAAGACUUUCUUUGAACUAUGAAGAGCCCUUGAUGUAAAUGAGAUACAGAUUCAAAAGGUUAAAUGUCCUGAAAAUGUAAAUGUUAGAAUUUGUGAUGGCCACUCUAACAGUAAUUGUACUCCACUAGGUUAGUUUGGGAAUUGGUGGCUUGUAGAAGUGGAAGCAUGUAUAAAUAAAAGACUUCCUGGUCUUUUCAUCAUCUCCCUUUUGUGUUUUUGAAGCCUUGGCUGAGAGUGUUUCAAAUGUUCCUAACUGAAAUGAAGGAAAUUUGUAUGGGAUUCUUA